rnacentral:lncRNA from 1 species
UGGGUUUUGCUCUCCCUGUUGCUAGACUGGCAGUGUUUUGGCCCAGAGAGAAACUGGGCAAACAAGGCGGUUGGAAGACACUGGAAUUGAGAGGCAGCUUCUCAUUUAGAUUGCCUCUCCUUCUCCCUCCCCUCCUCCUUUUCUUCUUUCAGCCUCUCAUCCUGUUACCAUCGAGGACCUGGCGCCCUGCUGAAGCCCAGGGUGCUGCCCCGUGGGAAUGAGGUCGAACAUCCAGCUCAACCGUGAGUUGGGUGAGGCUUUCAGAUAGCCGGCCCUUGGGGGGUUAGUCAGUGACUGUGCUCAGUGCCACUGUGGGGAGUGCCAUUCCAGCCACCGGAGAGCCAAAGGAAACAGGCCCUGCGAGGCUGCCUCUGGGACAGAACUUGAGGCACCUUUGCCUGCAAGCCCAGAGGAGCCAGGGUCAGUGGGGAGGGACGGAGGAUGGACACAGCUGGGCACUGCUGAGCUGGCUUCUGCUUUGCAAAGAGCCACAGGGAGUCUGGGAGAGCAACCCACACCUCUGGACAAAGAGGACAGAACACCACCGGGCACAUUCUAUGGGGAGACAAACAGUGAUGUGUGCUGUGGUUUGAGAGUGGCUUCUGAUGGUGGAUUGGGCUGUAAUCCCCACUGUGAGGGAUUAAGAGGGAAGAAGCGUAAUCUAAGCCUGGUGUUUAAAGGAAGGGCCUCUGGGAGGUGAUCAGGAUUAGAUAAGGUCAGCAGGUGACUGUGUCCUGUAGACUUUCCAAGGAGGGAGACAGAGUGAGGAGACACACAGCUCUACUGACUGUCUCUGGAAUACCUUGCUCCAUGUAGUGCAGGACUUCUUUCCAAGAAGACCAUCACUAGAUGCAGCCUUGGCCUUGGCCUAGGACUCUGAGCCAGAAUAAUCCUUUUCUGUGGUUCUGUGUUUCAGCAACAGAAAUAGACUAAGUCAGUACACCUGCUGGCUCCCACCUGCCUGUCAUCCUCCAAGUCCACUCAUGGUAUGCAACCACCCUGCACUACUGGGCUGGGUCACCUGGGCCCCUAGUAUGAGUCCUGUGCAGGUCCCCUAAAGAGGAGGAAAUCAUCAUUCUGGCUAUAGAUGCUGGUCUUUUGGGAGCUUUGUUACUUGGACCAGACUCCCUGCAUCUACCUGUCCUUGGGGUCCUCAAAGACAGCUUCUGGGUCUCCAGGUGUCAGGGGCUGUGCCAUGUGAUUACCAGUUACUGCAGAGAGGUACAUGGAAUGGAUAUCGUAACACCAUUUACUAGGUGCAAGGUGCCGCAGUCUGGCUGGGCACAAAUCAGGAGCCACUCAAGCAGGAACAAACUUUAUUUCUGAACUCCCCCGGACGCCACCCACGCGGUCUUUCCAGCGACCACACACCAACCGGAACUCCCUCCAUGCGAACUCUUCAGGAAUCCCCGCCAGAGCUCAACCGAACUCAACGGGGAACUCCGCGAGAACUCAAAAGUCAUCAUCUUCAUGGCUCGCUGGCGUCACCUUCUCAACCACUACUUCUGGCAAAAUGCCAGGGGCCAUUCCGACUCGCUGUGGCUCUCAACACAAACAGCUGCCCAAGGGAGCAGCGAGGCUGCCAGGAGACAAUCCAACAGGGAAAGAAUGAUGCAAGGAACAAAUACCUGGACAGCAAACUCCAGGCAGAGGGGGUCAGCAUGGCCCGGGAGGUGGGCCUGAGUGUCUGGAGAAGCCCGAGGAGUGUGGAUCCACACUAGCAGGCCCAGGAGCUCUGAGUUUCUGUGGGAAGGUGGGUUGGGCAGCACCUUUAGGCUCCUUGUAGCUCAGAGGCACUAGGGGCUGGGGCUGUCUCUGGCCUGGACCUGGAGUGCUUGAGCCACCAAACACUUUGAAGUGUUCCAUCCAUUUCCAGUCUCUGCUUGCAGGGAGCAUCGGGGAUGGUUCCUCCAGUUGGUGAGCUGGGCAGGAGAGAGCUGCUGCCCGGGUCUGGCUUCCUGCUCAGGACUUGCUCUUCUGUGAUUCUGUCCACUAGAUGGGUCUUGCAUGCCCCGGGGCUUUGGGUCCAGCACUAGGACAUUUCUGUCUGCUCUUGGAGGGUGCCUGUUAAGAUGUGUGAGCAGGACAUUGUGUUGCUGUGCUGCUGUGGGCACUCUUGACCCCUCUCUGGUGCAUGGUCUGUGCCACUUCAUGACUUCCAUGGAACUGGAUAGUCUGUAAGGCAAAAAAAAAGAUGUAGAAGAGUUUUACUUGUGGUUCUCUUUUGCAUUUGCCUGAUUAACUAAUGAACUUGGAAAUAUUCAUUGGUUCUAGAAAUUUCUUCUUAAUAGUCUAUAAAAUUUCUUGAUAUAACUUGCUCAUUUCUUGUCUUUUAGUGGUUGACUUUAAAUCAUAUUUGUAUACUUACUAGCUUUGUGGCCAAUGUCUUCUCUCCAUUUGUGAAUUGAAUUUCCUUUUUUCAUUUACAUACAAAUUUAUAUUCCUUAUUUUGAUUGCUAUUGUCAAAUUGUUUUUUUUUAAAGUCUUCUACCCUAAAGUUCUUUAAGCAUGAUUUUAUAUAGUUCUUCUUCUUUUUCUAAAGUUUGACUUUCACAUGCAAUCCUAAGCCACAUGGUAUCUUUAUUUUUGUGUAUCUUGAGGCAGGAGUCUACAUUCACUUUUCCAAAUAGCUAAACACUUUUCUUGGCAACUUUUAUUAAUUGUUUGCAUUGAUUUGUUUCUGAAUUCAUUUUAUUUUUGUUUGUUUCAUUCGUCUGUUUGUAUAUUUCGACAUAAGCAUCAUAUUUACAGAGCAGAAUUCCUAUGCAGGAGAAUGAGCUUUGUCUCGGAUUUAACUCUUCAAUAUCUGUCAAUAGGUCAGCAAUUUUUUAGGACAAAAGUUGAUUGUAUAGUCCAUUAAUUUCUGGUGUUUUACCUGCCUCCUUUCACUAUAUUUGUGAGUAUGGAGGCAAAGUGCAAUUGACCCUUAUUUAGUAAUUUUAAAUCCAUCAAUCUUGCCACGUUUUUAUAAUGCUAAUGAUUUACAAAUAAACAUUUUUUGUUCUAUAAAGAAAAUCACAUUAGCAAAUAAUGACAAUGCCAUUUUUUUUUAAUUCUAGUCCCUAUAUAUUUUUCUUUGUCUUGUUCUGGCUAGAAUCUUGUCAUUUUCUGAGUUCAGAGGGAAUUGUCUAAACUUUUCCAAAUUACUGAAAAACUCUAGACAGUUUUAGAAGCUACCUUCUUUUUCAGGUUUGCUAAUUAUUUUUAUCAUAAGGGAAUGGCAAAUGUUAAGAACAUUUUCUGCAUAUGUUUAGAUUAUUUUUCUUCUUCAUUGC